UUUGCGAUGUGACAUUUGUUGGAUCUCAUAGCUUUGGUGGUUUGCUUUAAAGCUAGGCGAAAGCUUUUUUGGGUAAAUGUCAGAGCCCUCGCUCAUGUCACCAAUGACCAAUCCCUGCGUUUCAAAAAGAAAAGAAAAGACCAAUCCCUGCGCUCUCUCUCUCUCUUAUUGCGAAAGCCCUGCUCUCUCCUUGUCGGCGCCGGCGACGAGGGGAGCUCUUUCUCAGCGUCCGCAACAUCGACGGUCGGAGAGCAGUGAGACUCCAAGUCAUGUGUGCUGGGGACUGGUGGGUGAAUUCCCUCUUGAGGAACUUAAGCAGAUGAAAUGGUGAACUGAGGGAUAAGCUAUGGGUAGCUGCAAUUUUUUUGUAUUUGAUUUGACUGUCUAAUGGUAGAAAACAAUACAUUGAAGGAUUCAAAACUCCUAUUUUCUUUCUCAGAAAUGACCUAGAGCCUUCUGGUACUAACUAGCAGUGGAGUACUAAGCUUUGCAUUAUGUACCAAUUCCUUUAUUGAGCUUUCAGAUUGAUUGAAAAUUGAUGCUGAUGACUUUGCAUUAAGUAUA